UUUUUUUUCCUACAACAGGAACUUGUUUGCAAUUACUAUAAAAUUUUUGGUAGUUAAUGAGAUGGUUCCGCCAACCAAUGUCUCGUUCCCAAUUAUUAAAUAACCCCCUCAAUUAAUUUAUUAAGCUCAGUGUUGAGAUAUCCGAAAUACUCCAAUUCCAGAGGCUCUUUUGUCCGUAACCGGGGACACGGCUAAUCGAUUAGGUUGUUACUCUGCAGAGGUUUGUGCACUUUACCCGCAAGAAUCGUUCCCUCCCUUUAAGUCUUCGCACUGCCUGGUGUUUGAAGACGGGACGAACGAAACAGGGUCUUCUGAAGAGUUCCUCUGGGCCACUGCCGGUGCCCAUCCAAUCCUACCGUUCUUCUACAUCUCGUAGCACCGUCCGUCCAGAGUCACGCCUGGGGUCGACCAAGCCAGAGCCCAUAAUGGCUUGCGGCUGCACAGGUAAGCUUCCGGUCAAUGGGGUAUCCAUCCGUCUCUUCGUGGCUGGGUGAAGCUUUCCGCAAGAUGUCAUGGCGCUUCUCCAUGCAUCCCGGCCAUCCGCUGGUUUCUCCAGGGUGCCCGUCAACCGUCCUCCACCCAGUAGUGAAUUUUGAAGUCCAUCUUGAGCUUGACGUCAUGGGGUUGUCAUCAUCUUGACUCUCACAUCUCCCUUAUGAAUCACUCAACCAACCCCGUCUACGAGCAUAGCAAAAUAAACUACAUCGUCCUGGGCAUUGGUAACAAGGGAGAAGGGUUCAUCCUACCUCAUGAUACUACUUAAGAACAUAACUUAACAAAAUUCUCCUACUGCAUGCAUGGUGGGGAGGUAUAACUCUAAUGCAAUAAAAUCAUAGGUAUUGUAAAAACAUGAUCAAAUGACUUGCCUGGCUGACGGUCUUCGAAAGCUAGCGUCUCGUAAUAGCAGGCUUCGCACUCCGGAAAUUCUACCGAGUCAAACAAUAGCACAAAUAAGUAUAGCACAAUAUAACAUAACAGCAAGUUGAAGUAAAACACCCACGUACUCAAACCAAAACCAAAGAAAAACUCGGAGAAAGCAAAUCAAGGUUUUCAUCAUAUCAAGCAACAACUAAGAAAUAGUUUUACACAACUAAAACUUUUCUUAACAGAACCUAAGCAUUGGUUUUGCUAACUAACAGAAGGAAAAACAUCAUACCAACUAGGAGCAAAAAGAAUCACAUCAAAAGCUAUUAUAGAACUCCUAUUAUGCCUAAAACAAUGCUAGCAAGGAAAAUAAAAUAAAAAAAUUUAUUCUACUGUAAAUAAAAGUUCAUCCUCUGUAGCUACAGAAGCUAAUCUAAAAUAAACUAUAACAUAACAAAAAUAAAAUUAUUUACUAACUAGAACAGUAAGAAAACAGUAGCUAGCUAAAUAAACAAGAAAAACUUAAUUUCGACAUAAAACUAAUUGUUUAUUAAAUCUAAAAUACCAAAACAACUUCCUACUGCUAGGCAUGGUCAAAUCUAAUCAGUAGAAAAAAGAAUCACUAAAAAAUAAUAAUCCUAACUCAAUUUAUGGCAGAAAAACUAAUCUGUCUAAAUCUAAUAUAAAACUAUUUCUAAUAAUUUAAACAUGGCUAAACCUAUUUUCUACAGAAACUACAACAAAUUUGCAAACUAGCAAAAAAAUAAUCAACUAAAAAUAAUAAGUAACCUAAAAGAUGUAGAUUUUUCAAGAUUGGAACUAUUCUGUUUUAAAACAGAAACGAAAAUAAAACUAAAAAUAAAACUAACGCGCUAACGGGCCGAAACAGUGAGCGUUCUAAAACUAAACAGCGCCUAAGCGUUUAAUAAUCCAACGCGUCCACGGGCUAACAGAAAUAAACCAGUCGGCCGGUCCAACUAAACCACAACAUAAAAUAAACCGAUCUAAACCGAAACUAAAACCGAUGUAAACAAAUAAACCUAACCCUUCACAACUUCUAAUCUACUCCGUAGAUUGCAGAUCGAACGGUGGGGGGGGGGGCUCCGGUGACUUACAGUGUGGCGACGNNNNNNNNNNNNNNNNNNNNNNNNNNNNNNNNNNNNNNNNNNNNNNNNNNNNNNNNNNNNNNNNNNNNNNNNNNNNNNNNNNNNNNNNNNNNNNNNNNNNNNNNNNNNNNNNNNNNNNNNNNNNNNNNNNNNNNNNNNNNNNNNNNNNNNNNNNNNNNNNNNNNNNNNNNNNNNNNNNNNNNNNNNNNNNNNNNNNNNNNNAGGCGGUGCAGAGCCCGGUGCUCUGCAGCUCCGGCGGGCGGCGAACGAGAUCAGGGGCGACGGCUUCGGGGCUCCUGGGCAGGGAGAUGAUGUCAAGAAAGUGCGGCACGAAGUGGAGGUUCGGGUGAAGUAGCUUGAAUGGGAAGGGGGUGCUCACCGGUGGCAGAAACGGCGGCGAACCAAGGCGGCGGCGGCGAGAUGCGUUCGGCGAGGGCGUGAGCUACGGGUGGGUUUGAGCUUAGGGUUUUAGGGGGAUCGAGAGAGGAGGGUGCUGGGUUUAUAUAGGGCAUCAACUUGGGCAAGGGGGCGUCUCGGGAUCGUGAUCCCGUGGAACUCGGACGCGGCGGCGACGGCGAACGCGCUCUGGCGCGGCAUAGCGUGGGCGAGGGGAAAAGGAGAGGGCGGGCCCCGCGGGUCAGUGAGGGGGAGAGAGAGGGGAGCGAACGGGCGAGCGAUCGGGAGAGGGUUCGGGCGUGCGGGCGCGCUGGGGCAGGCCGGCUCGGGCGUCGGUGGCCUGCGCCUGGCCCGCUGUGGGCUGCGCUCGGCGCUGGCUGGGCCGGUUGGCCUGGCUGGCGCCUGGGGCUUUUUUUUUGAAUUAGAGGGAAAGAAAAAAUAUAGAAANNNNNNNNNNNNNNNNNNNNNNNNNNNNNNNNNNNNNNNNNNNNNNNNNNNNNNNNNNNNNNNNNNNNNNNNNNNNNNNNNNNNNNNNNNNNNNNNNNNNNNNNNNNNNNNNNNNNNNNNNNNNNNNNNNNNNNNNNNNNNNNNNNNNNNNNNNNNNNNNNNNNNNNNNNNNNNNNNNNNNNNNNNNNNNNNNNNNNNNNNNNNNNNNNNNNNNNNNNNNNNNNNNNNNNNNNNNNNNNNNNNNNNNNNNNNNNNNNNNNNNNNNNNNNNNNNNNNNNNNNNNNNNNNNNNNNNNNNNNNNNNNNNNNNNNNNNNNNNNNNNNNNNNNNNNNNNNNNNNNNNNNNNNNNNNNNNNNNNNNNNNNNNNNNNNNNNNNNNNNNNNNNNNNNNNNNNNNNNNNNNNNNNNNNNNNNNNNNNNNNNNNNNNNNNNNNNNNNNNNNNNNNNNNNNNNNNNNNNNNNNNNNNNNNNNNNNNNNNNNNNNNNNNNNNNNNNNNNNNNNNNNNNNNNNNNNNNNNNNNNNNAGGACAUACAUAUAUCAAAAUUAUCAGGGGAAUUAAUCCUACAACGUGAACAUUUUUCAGAGGUAAAACUCAAACUUAAAAAAAAAAGAAAAAAAACAUUUUUUUGGAAAUCCCAAAUAAUAAUCAAAUUUGAAUUCAAACUUUUUGGCAAUAUUUUUCUUCUGACAUCUUUGGAGUGUCAUGUUAGCUCCUCUCAUACUUUUGCUCAAGUAUUUGUCAGGCAUUGUUUGAAAUAAAUUCAACUGCCAAUUUGAAUCCAAAUUCCAACAAACUCAAAAGCCUUUGGAAAAAUUCAAAUGUCACUCAAUUCAAGCAAUAUGCAUAGAUGCUUAGCUACAAUUGUAAAACAUUCCAAAUGGGAAAUUUGGGAUGUUACAUUGCAAGAUAAUAAAGAGCACGUAAAUAUAAACUAGGGGAUGUUUAGAUAAAGAAGCAAUAAAGUAAAUAUAGCGAGUGUGGAAAAGUGGUGGUAGGAGUUGUGAAAUUGUCCCUAAGCAAUUGACUACUUUACUAGACCGAUAGCAAGUUUUAUGUGGGAGAGGCAUAAGCUAACAUACUUUCUCUUCUUGGAUCAUAUGCACUUAUGAUUGGAACUCUAGCAAGCAUCCGCAACCACUAAAGAUCGUUGAGGUAAAACCCAACCAUAGCAUUAAAGCAUCAAGUCCCCUUUAUCCCAUACGCGACAACCCCCUUACUCGGGUUUAUGCUUCUAUCACUCAAGCAACUCACUAUAAGCGAAUCAUGAACAUAUUGCAACACCCUACAGAGGGAAUCCCUCACGCUUGCGCGACACGGAGGGCACAAUAGGACAUCAACAUAACCACAAGCAAAUUAAACCAAUCAUAGCAAUUCAUCAAUCACCGGUUGGACAACGAAAAUCUACUCAGACAUCAUAGGAUGGCAACACAUCAUUGCAUAAUAAUAUGAAGCAUAAAGCACCAUGUUAAAGUAGAGGGUACAGCGGGUUGUGGGAGAGUGGACCACUUAAUAUAGAUGGGGGAAGGUGUUGGAGAUGUUUGUGAAGAUGGCGGAGGUGUUGGUGAAGAUCGCGGUGAUGAUGAUGGCCCCCGGCGGCGUUCCGGCGCCACCGGAAGCAAGGGGGAGAGAGCCCCCUUCUUCUUCUUCUUCUUCCUUGACCUUCUCCCUAGAUGGGAGAAGGGUUUCCCCUUUGGUCCUUAGCUCCCAUGGCGUGGGAGGGACGAGAGCCUCUCCGAUAUUGGAUCUGUCUCUCUGUCUCUCUCUGUUUCCGUGCUCUCAGAUUCUGCCCUUUCACCGUUUCUUUUAUAUCCGGAGAUCCGUAACUCCGAUUGGGUUGAAACCUUCGCCCAGAUUUUUGUCUCCGAAAAUUAGCUUUCUUGCAGCAAAAGAAGAGCGUCAACCGCCUUACGGGGUGCCCACGAGGGUCAGGCGCGCCCCCUGCCUCGUGGCCCCCUCGGGCACCUUCUCGCGUUGAUUCUUCUUCCCAAAAAUCACAAAUAUUCCUAAAAUAUUCUCCAUUCGUUUUUAUCCCAUUUGGACUCCGUUUGAUAUGGGGUUUCUGCGAAACAUCAAACAUGCAACAAACAGGAACUUGCACUGGGCACUGGAUCAAUAUGUUAGUCCCAAAAAUAGUAUAAAAAGUUGCCAAAAGUAUAUGAAAGUUGAAUAAUAUUGGCAUGGAAAAAUAAAAAAUUAUAGAUACGAUGAAGACGUAUCAGGGAGCCACGAGGGGCCCACGAGGGUGGGGGCGUGCCCACCCCCCUAGGGCGUGCCCUCCUGCCUCUUGGCCGCCUCGGCUGCUUCCUGAUGUCCACACCAUGUCUCCUGCAUUGCCUUUGUUCCAAAAAGAUCGCUCCCGAAGGUUUCAUUCCGUUUGGACUCCGUUUGAUAUUCCUUUUCUUCGAAACACUGAAAUAGGCAAAAAAACAGCAAUUUGGGCUGGGCCUCCGGUUAAUAGGUUAGUCCCAAAAAUGAUAUAAAAGUGUAUAGUAAAGCCCAUAAACAUCCAAUAUGGGUAAUAUAAUAGCAUGGAAGAAUCAAAAGUUAUAGAUACGUUGGAGACGUAUCAACCCCCAGAAGAAGACACAAGCGCCCCGGCAAGGCCUGCCGGGGCUCACGGAGGCCAUAUCACCUCACCAACUACUCCAUCGCGACCCACGUUGUCGAUUAGUCCAGUAUCAAGACGGAGGAUGAUUAAGUGGUAUCCAUUCGCCACAUGGCGGCCACUUCCUACCAAGAGAACCCACAGAUGACACCCGUCCAAUGACAUGGCGACCAGGCGUGAAGCUGGCGAAUUAGCCCGGCAGGCCUUGCCGGGCAACCAACGACGUGACACUAAGCAAUGCAUUUAAUGCAUGUUGCCAGCUUGCAGAGUUAGGUAUGUUAGCAGUAUUUGCUAUCAUAUCAGUGUCUAAUGACUAAUUUGCCACUGUGGUAACCCCUUAAUCUAUAAAAGGUGGCCCAUGGCAAUGAUCCAAGAGGUUAGAAGUUUAGACCACUCACACCCCCAUACGCGCGUAGUCGCUGCUGCCCCAAAGCAACCCUUGCCGGGCAAGAGUACUAUACACACCACCACCUUUUCCCAUAAAUCCACCAAAGCAGGAGUAGGGUUUUACGCCUCGCGGCGGCCCAAACCUGGGUAAACUGCCUGUGUGAUCUCUGCCGUGUUGCGUUGCGUUGGUCUGCUCUUUGUGCAACGCGACUCCCCCCUGCCGAACCAGCAAGGCGCCAUCCUGGUCCCAUAGGUGGCCGUGGUUUCCAGCGAGAGGUGACCUGCGCUACUGCUAUGGUCGCCAGCCAAAAUACCUACCACCUUUCCCCCCUUCUUCCUCCCCUCUCUUCUCCCUCCCUUCAUUUCUCCCCCUCUCCUUGCACUUGCUUGUUNNNNNNNNNNNNNNNNNNNNNNNNNNNNNNNNNNNNNNNNNNNNNNNNNNNNNNNNNNNNNNNNNNNNNNNNNNNNNNNNNNNNNNNNNNNNNNNNNNNNNNNNNNNNNNNNNNNNNNNNNNNNNNNNNNNNNNNNNNNNNNNNNNNNNNNNNNNNNNNNNNNNNNNNNNNNNNNNNNNNNNNNNNNNNNNNNNNNCUCUUUCUUUCUUUGUCCAUCCACCACCCCCUCUUCUUUGCCCCUCCACCACACCCUCCACUAAUGCCCUCCCUCCCCCUCUUCUUUGCCCUCCACCACCACCUUCCAUUAAUGCCUUCCCUCUCCUCCCUCUCUCUCCCUAGCUAGCUAUUUAGAGCUAUAUCUAGAGCUACUAGCUAAUUAAGAAGGUGCUCGAUAUCCCUCUCGACACAUAGGUGAGCAAAAAAGUUGUUUGUGUGCGAUAGGACCGAAACUAUAUAUAUGUGCGAUAUUAGAAUAUACCGAAUUGUUUGUGGCAUAAUUUGAGUUGCCUAUAUUGUGUAUUUGUUGAAAUGUGGGUGACAUGAGUUGCCUAUGUUUUGCCGAAAUGUCGAUUCAAUUCCGUUUCGGUGAAUUUUGGGCAAACUCAAUAUGUCCUAUGUUUAGGGAAGGUCAUGCCGAAUUUUUGUAUGAAGUUGAUCCUUGCAUGCGUACGUGGUUAUAAUAUUUUGCUCCGCACGCAGGUGAUCACGAAGGUCAAUGGAAGGAUGGUGGAAAGAUACUGGAAAUCCGUGGUGGACGACAUGUAUGAAAAAAGACUGAAGGAUGUUGUAUGUCCGUGUCGAAAAUGCAAAGGAGGAGUCAGGCUCGACCCCUUUAAGGGUGGUAAAUUCAAGGUGCACCUGCACAUGCAUGGUUUCAUGGAUGGCCAUACUUGGUGGAUAAGUGAAGAAGAUGAUGAUGAGGACGUCAACGGGGCAGGAAAUAACGUCAUGGGGCCAGACGAAGAGAUGACCAAUUAUGUGCCCGAAGAACAAGAUGGACUCGGAAAUGGUGAUGGCAAGAGGCAGUACAAGGCGGAGAAGACACAGACACGCCGCCGUCUUCGUCACUACUAAGUUCAGCCAUGCGGGACCUGCAUGUUUGAGGCCUGCUUCGCAAGAAGAGGACUAGCGACAGAGCUGCUUCUAGAGAGGAGGCCAAACUGGCGCAACUGGAGGUAGACUUGAUGACUCCUUUGUAUGAUGGUUGCGAUCCCGAGGUGACUUGCUUGAGUUUCACACUAGAACUUCUAAAUACGAAGGCAAAAAGAAAAUGGAUGGAUGCAAGCCUGGAUGAGCUUCUGAAGUAUCUAAAGAAGGUUCUUCCCGCGGGAAGCCUGUGUCCUACCAGUGUCGAGGAGGCAAAGAAAAUCGUGUGCCCUCUUGAUCUGCCACACAUUAGAUAUCACACAUGCAUCAAUGAUUGCAUCAUAUAUUGGAACAAGCACGCGGAAAAAACCAUCUAUCAAAGUGCAAUGCUUCACAAUAUAAGAAGCUAGAAAGAAAGCUCCACAGAAAGUUGUAUGGUACUUUUUAAUCAAUCCGCGUCUGCAGUGGUAUUUCGUAGAUCCUAAGGAAGCAAAGCUUAUGUGCUGGCACGCGGAGAGGGUGAAGCCAGAUGACGGAGAUGAUCCGAAGAUGAGACACCUCGCAAAUGCCAGCCAGUGGAGAGCAUUAAACGCUGAACUUGAUUUUUCGCAAAUGAUGCAAGGCACAUCGUGCUUAGCGCUAGUAGUGAUGGCAUGAAUCCGUUUGGCAAUCAGAACACCAAUCAUAGCACACGGCCCGUGUUUGUAUGGAUGUACAACCUCCCCCCUGGAAGUGCAUGAAAGGAAAAAUACAUACACAUGGCUAUGCUUAUUCAAGGGCCGAGACAACCGGGAAAUGAUAUAAAUCUGUAUCUCGGAUUGCUGAAAGAGGAGCUACAUACCUUAUGGACAAUGUCGACCAAGACAUGGGACUCAAGCAAAGGAGAGUAUUUCUACAUGAGAGCCGCGCUAAUCACGAUGGUGCAGGACUAUCUCGGUUACAACUAUCUCUCUGGCCAGGUGUGCCACGGAUAUUGCGGAUGCACCAGGUGCAUGGAUGAUACAACUUCUCAGCAGCUAUCGAAAGAUGGCGGGUCUUCAAAAAUCGUGUACAUGGGGCAUUGAAGAUGGCUCGAGAAGGAUGGAUAAAGCGUGGAGAUCUAUUCAAUGGUAAGCCUGAGCAUCGAGGUCCUCCAUGUAAGUGUAGCAGUGCAGAAAUAUAUGAGUUAUUGAAGAGCUGGGAAGAGUGCCCCUUGCCGGGAAAGAUGAAGAAAAAGGCGCCGGAGCUGCUGCUGAAGGUAUGGAAGACGAGACUGUUUUCCGGUACUUGGAAUACUGGCCCAAACUCGACACGCCUAAUAGCCUUGAUCAAAUCCAUAUCACAACCUCGAGAGUUUGCUUGGAACAUGGAUGAACAUGAUGGAGAAGACCAAGGAUGGGCCGAAGGCAAGAAAAGACUUGGAAUUUUUGAAAAUCAGGAAAGAUCUCCCAUCUCCGAAUGCCCGGUAAAAAGUCAUUAGAGGAGACGGAGAUGGAAGAUAGGGGCAAAAAAGUAAACAAGAAGGAAGAACAAUAUUGCCCCACCUCUUACUUCACCUUAGAUCCGAAGGACGUCGAUCAAUUGUUCAAGUGCCUUGCUGGAAUCAAAGUUAGUUCCGGAUACUGUGGGAAGAUAAGCAGAUGUCUGGACACUAAGAAAAAAAGGUUCAGCGGGAUGAAGUCUCACGACUAUCAUGUGAUGAUGACGCAGUUACUCCCGGUUGCACUUAGAGGGAUUAUGGACACACACGCCCGUGAGAUGCUUACUGACCUAUGCCACUUUUUUAUGCUAUCUCUCGAAAGUCGAUCAGUGUGAAGCAACUCCAUAGGCUACAGGAAGAGACCGUUGUCAUACUGAAUGAGCUAGAGAUGUACUUCCCGCCUGCGUUCUUUGAUGUCAUGGUGCAUCUAUGUGUCCAAAGAACUUAACUACACUGGAUUGCAAAGCGCGACGAUGUUUCGUGUCAGAUGGGCUAAGAAUGUACAAAUAGAAAACCGACAUUUCACUACCAUGUGUAUACCCGACUCCGAUAGCGGUACCGUCAACGCCACCGCCAAAAAUGAGCCAUGGGUACACGCUAAACAUGUGAAACGAUGUUUCUUCAUAUCCGACCCCAGCAAUCCCAGCUGUGUUGUCGUGAGAAGAGGCAAAAGGAGCAUCGUCGGAAUGGAUAGAAUCGCCAACGAGGAAGACUACGAUCAGUAUGGUGAUCCGAUGAGGGAAGAUGAUGCUGAUGACGAUGAAACAUACGUCAAAAGAAGAAUGAAGAGAGCAUUACCUAUGAAAGAUUGUAAUCCCUGGAAAAGGAAAAGUCACGACCAUGGCCUCAAUUAUUCGACAACGAACAAAAGUGGGAAGAAGAUCAGCCUGAAGCGUCGUUGUCGCCCAAGCUGACAAACUAAUCCAAAUAAUUUGUGUGUAUCUAUUUUGUAUACCACUCUUAGAGGUCAAAUGAUGUAAUAUAUAUUAUACACUAAUUAAUAUCCAGAGGAUAAAUGGUGUUAUUGCUCCAACAGAACAAAUUAAUUAAACCCUAGCUAGCUAGAGCUAUAUAUACCCCUGCUAUACAAAAAUGGGUUAAUUAUCGUUUUGCCCUUAGUGGUGUCCAUCUGCUCAGUUUUGCCCUCAGAUGCAAAUUGUGCUCAGUUUUGCCCCUAGUCCGUGCGCACCGACUCGCUCUGUGAACUUUGGCGUCUCCGUCAGGUCAACGUUUUGACUCGGCCCUUACAGGUGGGACCAGGCGGCAGAGGCGGCCAAUUUUAUUCAGACCGUUGCACACGUGGCUUGCGGGACCCAGCAGAGAGCCGUUGAGCAUAGAGCCGUUGCGGGUGUGCUAUAUAAGCGGGCGACAGCGGCGGUGACCACGGCGACAGAGAGCACGGCGCUGACCACAGCGAGAGAGCGAGAGCACGACGGCGGUGGGAAGCUAGCUGUGGAGGGCGCGGCGGCGUUGAGAUCCGGUUCGGCUCCGAGCUCCAUGUCUUCCGCAAGCUCCCGCGCCACCUCGCGGAUGCAGAGCCGGGCGCGUGUGGAGAUGCCUGUCUUCGUCUGUCCGUGGUGCCGGGCGAGCGUUGAUCGGAGGGUUUCUCACACACCGAGGAACCACAAUCGUCCGUUCUACGUGUGCAGCGAGAAUGGGGUAAGAAUCGGGGCAAUUGCACCAUUUUCGUGGUCGGGAUCUUUGACCAAUGGGUUGAUCUGUUCCGUGUUCAUGCAGGUGACAUGCUUCUUUCUUUGGGUCGAUGCUCUGGCCAAGACUCUGAUAAAUGAACUGCAAGAAGAGCAUGAAGAAUGGUUGCGCAUGCUGCCCCAAACCGCAGUGGCCGCAGCACGAGCUCCGGAAGAAGAGAUGGAGGGCGAAGCACGCACUGACAGAGAGCUAGCUGUUGAGCUUAGGAUGUUGAAGAAGAAGGUUAGGAAGCUUGUAGAUCAAGCACUACCAAUACCCAUUCGCAAAUACUUUUGGGCAUUUGUAGGUAUGGUAAUCACACUGGUUGUAAUGUUGAAAAUGUAUGGAAAGGCAUGAAUUAUGGAGGAAUUUGUAAUCUUGAAAUUGUAUGAGAAAUUCACGUAGUUUAAAUGUUGGUCAAAGUUGUUUAAAUGUUGAAAAAAAGAGAAGAAGUGACCAACAUUUAAAUAUGUUGAAAAAAAGGAGAAGAAAUGAGGAAUUCAGAAACUUUUGAUCAAUGAAAUGCAGCUAAUGAAUUAUGCCAGAGCCAAACAAUUAAGGUUAAUUUUUUUUGGAUCUGUUAAAUAUUUAAUAGCAAUUGAAGUAAUCCAAUUCAAAUACACCGUGAUUUAAAUCAAAGACCAAAAUGUCAUGGAAAAUGUGCCUCAGCUCUGGUAGAGGUUUACACCUAGUUCCAAAAUAAAUGAACAUUUUUUAAGGGCAUUACAUUGAGUAAAAACUAAUUUGUCUAAAAAAUGAAGGGUGGAAAAUGCACAAAAAAUUGGUGCGGCUGGGGACUCGAACCCAAGACCGUGUGGGUUUGUGGUGUUUAGGGCUGCGUUGGUAACCGCUAGGACAGAUGGCAAGAGUUUGACAUGGGUAGGGAAGGAAUGUAUACAUAGUGAGACUGUGAAAUUUGUCAAAAAAAAUAGUGAGACCGUGAAUGUUUGCACACGCGUGAGAGUGGUUUUCCUUUGUUUUGCACUGAAAUUUUGGAGGGUUGGAAGGUUGAAAACGUAUGUUUGCACUGCCACGUGGUUUUGGUUAGAGUGGCACUUGGUUUAGUGUUAGAGUGGCACUUGGUUUAGGAUUUAAACGGAAUAAAUUUGCAUGUUAGUUCAUGACUUAUUUUUUUGAAUAAAACGGAGGGCUUCUCACCCCCUCCGUUUUUCAUUAAUGAAAACCACAAGUUCUCGAGCUUCAUGACUUGGUUUAGGGAAGAAAUUAUAUGCUUGGGCACGAACAUUUUUUAACACACAUAAUAAACCCUAAUAAAUAACUUAGAUAAGAUGCAACACAAGUACCAUUACAAUAAUAAGUUCACGGACACAUGACGAAACAUGACACGACACGACACGACAUAGAAAAGCAACAAAUAAAAAACAAAAUAGUCUUCAUCUUGAUCUCCUCCUUCCACUUUGGCUGCGCGCGCCCCUUCAACACCGUCCUCAUCUUCACACCUCCUCCUCGUCGUCGUAGGGAAGGGAGUGCAUCCCGUCUCGAGUGGGGAAGAUGUUCUCGUAGUUGGUGUAGAUGUUGUAGACGGUGAAGAAGAUGGCCUCGCAGCCGCACCAAAAGACUUAGCCGAGGAGCUCGCGCGCGUCAAACGGGUUGGUGAAGGUGACCGUGAGCAGUAAGAGGAUGCCGCCGCGGUCACGAACCUCGUUGAGGGUGAACAUCCUCGGCGAGCCCCGUGGGAGGUGGGCAUAGCCGGCUCUGAGGAAGGCGCGGGUGAGUUCGAUGGAACCCCUCCACCUUGAAAUAGCCCACACACGAAGCUCCCUCUCCACGAGCACGCCCGGUGGGUAGCGCAGCUCCGGCACGACAGGCGGAUGGCUGAAGGUCGGCCCGUUGAACUGCAUGGUCUCUCUUGGGGAGGGCUCGGUCGAUUGGGUGUUUGAAGUUGGAGAGAAGGGAUCAGAUCUGGCAUAUGGGUGGGAGAGGAAGAUAGGCACCCCAUUUAUAGGCCUGUGGGUGGGAGAGGAAGAGAGAAAGGAUGAGAACGGUGCGUGUGUGAAUCCGAACGCGUGUGUGUAUCCGUUACGCAUUGCACUCUUAAAUUUUUGCACAAAAACGAUGCAUGCAUGGGGCGCGUGCAUGCAUUUGAAUCACUGCAUAGCUCUUUGACCGGACGGUGCAUCUGACUCGUUGAACCACCUAGCUGGCCUCGCUAGCCUAGCGCGCCUAGCGCACCUCGCUCGCAUGCAUGCACGUCGCAGCCUCCCGCGCAUGCAAACCCACGUCGCAGCCUAUGCACGUCGCCGCCUCCCAUGCAUGCAUGCAAGGCCUGGAAAGGCUGAGACGAGCUAUUUACUGCGAUCUCAGGCCCAGACAACGGGACGGCCCAACGGUCCAUCCAGCGCGCCUGAUAUUGGUUUAAAAAAAAUCUCCCAGCCAAUCAGAUUGCAUCUCGCGGAUCGCCCCCUCCUCCCCGCAGAUUCCUUUUAGAAGGGUUAGAUUGAUGGCCCUUGUUCAGCGCUAGGGUUAGAUGAACGGUUCUGGUUCAGCGCUAGGGUUAGCGGGGUUUGGGAGGGGUUUGGAGCAGUCAAAGCUAUGUUUGACCAGAUUUGAAAUGAGCAUAAUAAAUUAAAUAAAAAUCAGAAAAUAAAAAAACCUGCGCACAUAGUCUUCUUAUGUCAUAUACUAACGAUUUAAGUUGAUAAACAAGGUUUACAUACAUUUAAACGAUAAGUUCAUGUGUAUUGUAUGAUAUCUAGAGUAUCUCAAACUCUCUUGUAUGAAGUGAAGAGAAGUGUUUUGGGGAAAUAAACAUGAAAAUUUCAAAAAACUCACCACAGCUUCAUUUUAGAGUGACUAAGAAGGAUCCAGGCUUAGUUUUUCAUUUUGAUGUUUUACACUUGUUUAAAUCUUGGUCAAAGUUAAGUUUGACCGGAAUUCAAAUGAGCAAAACAAAUUUAAAAAAAAUCAAAAAAUGGAAAAACCAGCGCACAUAGUCCGUAUAUAUAGAAUAUAUGUUUAGGAAAGUUGUUUGGCUGAUUUAGACAAGGUCGAAAAAACCUUGCUUAGAAAUGAGGCUGUUUACCCUACCUUUGGACCCCUCAUUUUAGCACAUUUUUCAUGAAAAUUUCAAAAACCUCACCACAGCUUCAUUUUGGAUUGACUAAGAAGGAUCCAGGCUUAGUUCUUCAUUUUGAUGUUUUAGACUUGUUUAAAUCUUGGUCAAAGUUAGGUUUGACCAGAAUUCAAAUGAGCAAAACAAAAUUCAAAAAAAUCAAAAAAAGGAAAAACCAUGUGCUCAUUCAAACAUCAUGCAACGGAUUUAAACAUCGUGUCAAACAUAGUUCUAACAUAGGUCCAACAUCAUCCAACAGAAAUACAACAUUAUUCAUAAUGUUUCAUAAUUAUUCACAUAUAGCGUUCGGGCUUCUGUCUGUUCCUUGACCUUCUUGCCAUCACUUUGCUCCUCGUGCACCUUGUGCUCAUUGCUUCUUCUCUUCUCCUCUUGGUUGUCGGUACCUUGUGCGUCUUCUUCAAACCUAUCAUAGAGCUGUGCAAAACAUAAAGGGUAAUGAGAUCAUGUCAAGUGACCCAUAAAUGUACAGUAGUAUUUGACCCUUGCAAGAUUUACAUACCUAGCAGAACUCACAACAACAGAAGGUUGGUCACCAUUUGGAGCCUCACUUGGAUCAUCAUUUGGAGCCUCACUUGGAUCACCAUGAUCAUCAUUUGGAGCCUCACUUGGAUCACCAUGAUCAUCAUUUGGAGCCUCACUUGGAUCACCAUGAUCACUAUUUGGAGCCUCACUUGGAUCACUGUUUGGAGCCUCACUUGAAUCAUUAUUUGGAGGAUAUUUUGGAUCAUCGUCAAAAUCAUGCGGCUGUUGACCAUCAUCAUUUAGAACCUCAUCAAAAUCCUCAUCUGAUGCAACCGGCUGCUGUCCAUCAUUUUCAUCAUCUGUUGAGGCAACCGGCUGCUGACCAACAUUUUCAUCGAAGCCUUCAUCGAAACUCUCUUCGAACGCUGGAUCUACUUUGUUAUCACAAUACUUACCGAAAUGACCAGACCCACCACAUCUUGUGCACUUAUGCUUCCUCGCUCCAAGUCCAGCUCCUUCGCUGCGAGGUCUGAUUCGACUCUUCCUUGGUCUACCUGCUGCUCUCUUCAGAACUGGAGCGCAAAGCUUGAAUCCAGGGUCCACCAUGUCCCAUUGUUGUUUUCCCUCCAUAGCAGGCAAGGCAUAAGCAUAUGUGGCUUUGAACCUUGCAACAGAGUAGUAAUCAUGCACAUACUGUUGAAUGUUCCCUGCUGGACCUGGGAGAGAAGUGAUGAAAAACAAGGCAUGAAUGCAUGGCAACCUAGUUAUCUGCCAAUGCCUACAGCUACAAGUUCUAGCUUCAAAAUCCACUGGAUAUCUCCAUUCCCUCUUCUCUUUAUCCAAAUAUGAUAUCUCUGCUGUGGUACCCGAGCAAAGAGUCAUGUUCAUUUCCAAGCCUGUUGUUUUCUGCUUCAGUUCAUUCAUCACGGCAGGGAUGAUAAUGUGGCCCAUGAAUUUUGCCUCGGCUAUUCCUGCACGAUAAUGAAAUUUCUGCAUGUAUUCUAUCCUUAUCCUGUCCAGCAAAUCCACCACAUAAUGACCCUUUAGUUUCCAGAUCGUUGAGUUGAAAGACUCUGCUAGAUUAUUGUGCACAUAGUCAACUUUGCUCAGUUUACUGAAUUGGCUUCUGGCCCAUAACUUGGAGUGGUGUGUUUCCAAGUAUUCUUUCACUUUGGGAUUCAUGUAUAACUGCCUCAAGUGGUAGUUGUGCUUCUUCACACUGCAAGUCAAAGAUGCUGGCCAUAAAUUGUCGGUAUACACCUUUGCUUUGAAUUUCUUCAUGAAAUUUGCAGCAAGGUGACGCAUGCAUUCCCUAUGGUCUACUCCAGGGAACACAUUGUCCACGGCCACUUCUAAACCUUUGCAGGCAUCUGUAUGAAUGACCAACCCAUUGGGAUGUGCAAUAGCCCGGCGCAGAUUAUGCAAAAACCAAGUCCAGCUCUCCUCAGACUCUGUCUCCAGCACACCGUAGGCAACUGGAAUACAAAACUGUGUGCAUCAACUGCACAAGCUGCUACUAACUGUCGUUUAAACCUCCUUGUGAGAAAAGUGGCAUCAAUAGCCAAAUAAGGCCUGCAACCUGCCAAAAAACCCCGGCGACAAGCCUCAAAGCAGACAAAAACCCUCCUAAAGCAUUCCUUGGUCUUUGUCACUCCCCUGAAUGUGUACUCCACGGUGUGGUGAUCAAUAUCUACAAUACUACCUGGGCUUGUCCUCUCCACUUCACCUUUGAAUGAAUACAACAAUUGAAAACUUUCCUGCCAGUUACCAUAAAUAGAAUCCAUAGCAUGUUGUUUACCAUUGAACAACCUCAUGUAUGGUAAAUCUAUCCUUAAUUUAUCUUUGAUGUUCUUCUGCAAUUCCUUUGGACCCACUUGCUAGUUUUCUUUCACACACUUCUUUACUUCUUCUGCCACCCAUCUUGACUUGGCUCUACUGAUUGUAUCCUUCCUAAGGGUUGAUUCCUGGCAUGUGUGCUUAAAAGGGUUCACUUUGACCUGAACAUUAGUGCUAUUUCGCAUUUUAGAUGCGAGCAGCCUCCAUGGACAACCCUCAGUCGGACAGUGCACUCUGUAACGUACUUGAUCGCUCUUGUCAACUUUGAAAGUACGUUCUACCUUGAUGCAGUAUGUCACAAGUGCAUUUCUACACUCAUUCAUGGAUGCAAAAACUGUACCUUCUUCCAUAUGAGGGUUCAAAGGGUCCCAUUCAACAGCUGCAAGGUCUUCGUCCUCACCCACCGCGUCAUCAUCCACACGGACUGCAUUGUGAGCCUCAUCUUGGUUAUCAGCCCGAGGUGCCCGUCGUAAAUUCCGAAUAACAUCAUAAUAUAGCUUCUCUUCAUCAACCCCAGAAUUGUAGUCAUUAGGCUCCACUUCAAGGGGGACCCUACUGUUGUUGCCCACACUUAUCGAGCCACCACGUCGCCGUGCACCAACUGAACUGUUCUGGCUAGAGAUGCCAUUACGAUGACUUGCUUCUCCCCGAGAUGUUGCACCCGUCAUCCUUGGUCCAAAUGCCUGCUCAAGCACAUCAACUUGCAGCCUCACAUGAAAAUUAUCUUUCUCUUUAUGCCUAACAAACAUGGUAGCUAGCUCUUCAUCAUUACUAACUGUCACCCAUUUCUUUUCCCCAUCAUAGUAUUUGUAUACCACUUCAUCAAGCAAACCCCAAGGAUAUUGGCUACAAAUUACCUCCCCAAAUUGUCUGAAACUCCAAUUACUAGCCAUUGGCAACCGAUAAUCAAAACCUCCUUGGUAUUUCUUCUGAUUCUUUGCAUCGAACGUGUACCGGUCCCUUCUAAUGUGCAUCAAGAAAGCAAACCGCAACUCCAUCCUAACCGGCAAAAAACAGAGACGCAAUCAGCACACUAAUUGGGCAAACCUACUCGAAUCGAGUGUUCAAAUGCACAACUAAGCUCAAUCUAAACAGGAGGCGAGACUUACCCCUCGGGAACCCAGUCGUGGACGCGGCGGAUCUCCGGCCCGAUGCCUGCCUCGCCAAAUACUCCGGGGUCGCCGCUGCUCUCCAUUUUGCCCUAGGGUUCUUCCUCCUAGUUCAAAUAGCUCCAGCAGCCCCCCACCUUUGAGCGCUCCAGCCGGGCGCAUGGAAGGAGGCCGCGCCGCGGGUCGAGCAGGUGGCGGGCGCCCCACCCAUGGCGUUGCAGGAAGGUGGCGGGCGUCACAGGUAGCCGUGGAGUGUAGGCGUAGAAAGGUAGCGGUGGAGUAGGCGUGUAGCUGGUGGCGGGGCAGGUGCUGGCCGCGGCGCAAGUGCCGGCGGCGGGGCAGGUCAGCCGGCCGGCGGGGAAGCGGAUGGGCAGAGUGAGCUACGAAUGAUUUGGGGAUUUAGUUGCACGGGCCUACAUGUCAGCUCCGAACCCACGUCCACGCGGUCCCACAUGUAAGCUCCGGACCCACAACCACUAACGCUGGUGGACGGAAUGGACUCAAAUAUGGCCGUUUGGCCUCGUCAUAGUAGCUGUGCAUGGACUAGGGGCAAAACUGAGCACAAUUUGCAUCUGCGGGCAAAACUGAGCACAAAGACACCACUGAGGGCAAAAGGAUAAUUAACCCUACAAAAAUUGUACAAAUGCAAAUGAAAGAUAAGAAAAAGAAAACUGUAAAUGAAAGAAAAAGAAAUAGAAAAAUAAAAAGAGUUAGCAGUAGCACUUUUCGGGUGAACAAGCGUGAUGACCCACAAGUGUAGGGGAUCUAUCGUAGUCCUUUUGAUAAGUAAUAGUGUCGAACCCAACGAGGAGCAGAAGGAAAUGACAAGCGGUUUUUAGUAAGGUAUUCUCUGCAAGCACUGAAAUUGCAGGUAACAGAUAGUUUUGUGAUAAGAUAAUUUGUAACGGGUAACAAGCAAUGAAACUAAAUAAGGUGCAGAAAGGUGGCCCAAUCCUUUUUGUAGCAAAGGACAAGCUUGGACAAGUUCUUAUAAUGAGAAAAGCGCUCCCGAGGACACAUGGGAAUUAUCGUCAAGCUAGUUUUCAUCACGCUCAUAUGAUUCACGUUCGUUACUUUGAUAAUUUGAUAUGUGGGUGGACGGUGCUUGGGUACUGUCCUUUCUUGGACAAGCAUCCCACUUAUGAUUAACCCCUAUUGCAAGCAUCCGCAACCUACAAAAGAAGUAUUAAGGUAAACCUAACCAUAGCAUGAAACAAGUGGAUCCAAAUCAGCCCCUAAACCCAUCAUCUACUUAUUACUUCCCAAUGCCUUCCUUUGGGCCCAAAUAAUAGUGAAGUAUCAUGUAGUCGACGUUCACAUAACACCACUAGAGGAGAGACAACAUACAUCUCAUCAAAAUAUCGAACGAAUACCAAAUUCACAUGACUACUAAUAUCAAGACUUCUCCCAUGUCCUCAGGAACAAAAGUAACUACUCACAAAGCAUAUUCAUGUUCAUAAUCAAAGGGGUAUUAAUAUGCAUUAAGGAUCUGAACAUAUGUUCUUCCACCAAAUAAACCAACUAGCAUGAACUACAAGGAGUAAUCAACACUACUAGCAACCCACAGGUACCAAUCUGAGGUUCUGGUACAAAGAUUGGAUAGAAGAGAUGAACUAUGGUUUGAGAGGAGAUGGUGCUGGUGAAGAUGUUGAUGGAGAUUGACCCCCUGCUGAAGAGAGGAUCGUUGGUGAUGAUUUCCCCCUCCGGGAGGGAAGUUUCCCCGGCAGAACAGCUUCGCCGGAGCCCUAGAUUGGUUCCACCAAGGUUCCGCCUCGUGGCGGCGGAGUUUCGUCCCGUAAGCUUGCUUAUGAUUUUUUCUAGGGUAAAAGACUUCAUAUAGCAGAAGAUGGGCACCGGAGGGCUGCCAGGUGGCCCACGAGGCAGGAGGGCGUGCCCAGGGGGGUAGGGCGCGCCCCCACCCUCGUGGAUGGUGGGUGGCCCCCCUUAGGUAAUUCUUCCGCUGAAUAUUUUUUAUUAAUUCCCAAAAUGACUUUCGUGGAGUUUUAGGACUUUUGGAGCUGUGCAGAAUAGGUCUCCAAUAUUUGCUCCUUUUCCAGCCCAGAAUCCCAGCUGCCGGCAUUCUCCCUCUUCAUGUAAACCUUGUAAAAUAAUAGAGAAUAGCCAUAAGUAUUGUGGCAUAACAUGUAAUAACAGCCCAUAAUGCAAUAAAUAUCGAUAUAAAAGCAUGAUGCAAAAUGGACGUAUCAACUCCCCCAAGCUUAGACCUCACUUGUCCUCAAGCGGAAGCCGAAAUCGAAAAAUAUAUCCACAUGUUUAGAGAUAGAGGUGUCGAUAAAAUAAAAUACGGACAUGGGGGCAUCAUGAUCAUUCUUAUAAUAGCAACAUAUAUAUAUAUAUAUAUUGUCAUAUGAUUUCUUAUGCUCAAGUAACAACCUAUUCACAAUGUCAAGUAUGACUCAGAAACUUCAUUGAUAACUAACAAACUAUUAUCUCGGUCAUUGAAGCAAUUGCAAUUUAUCAUAACAUCGGAAAGAGUCAAUAUAAGAGCUUUUCAGCAAGUCCACAUACUCAACUCUCAUUUAGUCCUUCACAAUUGCUAACACUCACGCAAUACUCAUUGUUAUGGAGUUUUAAUCGGACACAGAGAAAGAUAGGGGCUUAUAGUGUUGCCUCCCAACCUUUUACCUCAAGGGUAAUGUCAACAAUAAUAGUUCAUGCUAACUUACAUCCAAUUGGAUAUAUAUAUCAAGAUCUUUCCAACACGAGGUGCUUGCCAAGGAUAAAAUGAAAAAGGGAAAGGUGAAGAUCACCUUGACUCUUGCAUAAUGUAAAAGAUAGGCCCUUCGCAGAGGGAAGCAGAGGUUGUCAUGUGCUUUUAUGGUUGGAUGCACGAAAUCUUAAUGCAAAAGAACGUCACUUUAUAUUGCCACUUGUGGUAUGAACCUUUAUUAUGCAGUCCGUCGCUUUUAUUACUUCCAUAUCACAAGAUCGUAUAAAGCUUAUUUUCUUCGCACUAAUAAGCCAUACAUAUUUAGAGAGCAAUUUUUAUUGCAUACAACAUGACAACUUACUUGAAGGAUCUUACUAAAUCCAUAGGUAGAUAUGGUGGACUGUCAUGGCAAAACUAGGUUUAAGGAUAUUUGGAAGCACAAGUAGUAUCUCUACUUGGUGCAAGGAAUUUGGCUAGCAUGAGUGGGGAAGGCAAGCUCAACAUGUUGGAUGAUCCAUCACAAUAUACUUUAACUAAGAUGUGAGAAAACAUAACCCAUUACGUCGUCUUCCUUGUCCAACAUCAACUCUUUAGCAUGUCAUACUUUAAUGCGUGCUCACAAUCUUAAAAGAUGUCCAAGAUAGUAUAUUUAUAUGUGCAAACCUCUCUUUCUUUAUUACUUCCUAUUAAUUGCAACGAUGACCAAAACUAUGUUUGCCAACCCUCAACAACUUUUAAUCAUCAUACUCUUUAUAUGUGAAGUCAUUACUAGCCACAAGAUCAAUAUGGUCUCUUUUAUUUCUUUUUGUUCUUUUAUUCACUCAAGAUCAUAGCAAGAUAGCAAAUCCCUUGACUCAACACUAAUCUUUAUUAUAUAUAGCUCACGGACUCGAUUACAUAGAGGGAUCAUAAAGCAAAACUCAAAACUAAUUCAUACCAAAACUUUAUUCUAGUAGAUCAAGAUAUUACCAAAAGGAUCGAACUAAGUAAAACGGUAAAGAUAGGAGUGUAAUGGUGAUAUGAUACCGGGGCAACUCCCCCAAGCUUGGCAGUUGCCAAGGGGAGUGCCCAUACCUAUGUGAUUAUGUCCUUGGAGGUGGUGAUGAUGGAGUUGUUGGUGAUGUAGGCUUCUUCCUCAAUUUGCGCUUGAGGGUGGAAUUUUGCUCCCUUAGAUCAUCAAUCUCCUGCUCAAGGCUUAAUAUCAUUUUGCAUAGUUCCUGUUUGUUUUCCUGCAAGAGACGAAAAGGAAUAAACUCAAUCUUUGGUUUCUUUGCUUUGUCAGGGAGGCUUGACUUUUUAAACUCCACAUGCAUGUCCCCAGGUUGAGGUAAUGGGGCUUCAUCUUCAUCUGAGCUUGUCUCCUCCUUUCCUUUAGGCUCAUAGUCUUCUUCUUCUUCGGUUGUCCAGCCAUGAUGCUCCAAGUCCCCGUAGAUCUUAGGGUCUGCUAGGUAAUCAGCCACAUAGCUUUCUCCCUCCGAAUCCUGGGAUGACAUAUUGCUCUUAUCUGCUGCAGAAACAGCUCAUGACAAAAAACAGAGGAUUUUUCCGUGAUACGGUGGUCAAAACCUUCGGGAGAUUAUAUAAUGAAUUUUUACUGAGAAAAAGAAGUAUCGUGCAAGAAAACAGAGUCCGGGGAGCACACGAGGUGCCCACGAGGCAGGGGGCGCGCCCAGGGGGUAGGGCGCGCCCUCCACCCUCGUGGAUGCCUCGUGUCCUUCCCGGACUACUUCUUAUUUUCCUAUUUUCUUAAAUAUUCCAAAACAGAGAAAAAUUGCUAUUAGAACUGUUUUGGAGUCGGUUUGCUUACCAUACCACAUACCUAUUCCUUUUCGGAGUCUGAAACGUUCUGGAAAGUGUCCCUUAUGUAUUCCUCCGGGGUUACGGUUUCAAUAAUAUUAGUUUCAACAUUUAUAGGAUUACCUGAGAUAUAAUGUUUGAUUCUUUGACCGUUCACCACCUUCGGAUUUGUGCCUUCGAAGUUGUUAAUUUUUAUGCACCGGAACGAUAGAGCUCCUCGAUAACGUAAGGACCUUCCCAUUUAGAGAGAAGUUUUCCAGCAAAAAAUCUUAAACAAGAGUUGAAUAGCAACACAUAAUCACCUACGUUAAACUCACGCUUUUGUAUCCUUUUGUCAUGCCAUCUUUUAACUUUUUCUUUAAACAGUUUGGCAUUCUCGUAGGCCUGGGUUCUCCAUUCAUCGAGUGAGCUAAUGUCAAACAACCUCUUCUCACCAGCAAGUUUGAAAUCAUAAUUGAGCUCUUUAAUAGCCCAAUAUGCCUUAUGUUCAAGUUCGAGAGGUAAGUGACAUGCUUUUCCAUAAGCCAUUCUAUAUGGAGACAUACCCAUAGGAUUUUUAUAUGCAGUUCUAUAAGCCCAUAAUGCAUCAUCAAGUUUCUUGGACCAAUUCUUUCUAGAUCUAUUAACAGUCUUUUGCAAAAUUAAUUUAAUCUCUCUAUUAAUCAAUUCUACUUCACCACUAGACUGUGGGUGAUAUGGAGAUGCAAUUCUAUGAUUAACAUCAUACUUAGCAAGUAUUUUACGGAAAGCACCAUGAUGAAAUGUGAACCACCGUCAGUCAUUAAGUAUCUAGGGACUCCAAACCUCGGAAAAAUAACUUCUUUAAGCAUCUUAAUAGAGGUGUUAUGAUCAACACUACUAGUUGGAAUAGCUUCUACCCACUUAGUAACGUAAUCAACAGCAACUAAAAUUUGUGUAUAACCAUUAGAGGCAAGAAAUGGUCCCAUAUAAUCAAAGCCCCAAACAUCAAAUGGUUCAAUAACAAGAGAAUAAUUCAUAGGAAUUUCUUGACGUCUACUAAUAUUAGUAAUUCUUUGACAUUCAUCACAAGUCAAGACAAACUUACGGGCAUCUUUGAAGAGAGUAGGCCAAUAAAAACCAGAUUGCAAUACCUUAUGUGCAGUUCUAUCUCCAGCGUGGUGUCCUCCAUAUGCCUCGGAGUGACACUUGCGUAGGAUCUGUUCUUGUUCAUGCUCAGGUACACAACGUCUAAUAACACCAUCUACUCCUUCUUUAUAAAGGUGUGGGUCAUCCUAGAAGUAAUGUCUUAAGUCAUAGAAGAACUUUUUCUUUUGCUGGUAUGUGAAACUAGGUGGUAUGAAUUUAGCAACAAUGUAAUUAGCGUAAUCAGCAUACCAUGGAGCAGUACGAGAAGCAUUUAUGAUGGCCAAUUGUUUAUCAGGAAAGCUAUCAUUAAUAGGUAGUGGGUCAUCAAGAACAUUCUCUAACCUAGACAAGUUGUCUGCAACGGGGUUCUCAGCUCCCUUUUAUCAAUAAUAUAAAAAUCAAAUUCUUGUAGUAGGAGAACCCAUCUAAUAAGUCUAGGUUUAGCAUCUUUCUUUUCCGUAAGAUAUUUAAUAGAAGCACAAUCAGUGUGAACAGUUACUUUAGAAUCAACAAUAUAAGGUCUGAACUUAUCACAAGCAAAUACAACUGCUAAGAAUUCUUUUUCAGUAGUAGCAUAAUUUCUCUGGGUAGUGUCUAGAGUUUUACUAGCAUAUUGAAUAACAUUUAGUUUCUGAUCAACUCUUUGUCCUAGAACAGCACCUACCACAUAAUCGCUAGCAUCACACACAAUUUCAAAGGGUAAAUUCCAAUCAGGUGGCUGAACAAUAGGUGCAGAAAUCAAAGCUUUCUUAAGUAUUUCAAACGCUUCUACACAAUCAUCAUCAAAGGCAAAAGGAAUAUCUUUUUGCAAUAGAUUAGUUAGAGGCCUAGAAAUUUUAGAGAAGUCCUUAAUGAACCUCCUAUAAAAACCGGCAUGACCAGGGAAACUUCUUAUACCUUUAAUGUCCUUGGGACAUGGCAUCUUUUCAAUAGCAUCAACCUUAGCUUUAUCAAUUUCAAUACCUCUUUCAGAAAUUUUAUUCCCCAAGACAAUACCUUCAUUAACCAUAAAGUGGCACUUCUCCCAAUUCAAGAUGAGACUAGUAUCUUCAUAUCUCUGCAAAACUUGAUCAAGGUUGCUCAAGCAAUCAUCAAAAGAGGAUCCAUAAACGGAGAAAUCAUCCAUGAAUACCUCACAAAUCUUUUCACAAAAUUCAGAGAAUAUAGCCAUCAUGCAUCUUUGAAAGGUAGCAGGUGCAUUACAUAAACCAAAAGGCAUACGUCUAUAAGCAAAAGUACCAAAAGGGCAAGUAAAAGUGGUCUUUUCUUGAUCCUCCGCUGACACAGGUAUUUCAGAGAAACCAGAGUAACCAUCUAGAAAGCAAAAAUGUGUAUGUUUGGAUAGUCUUUCUAGCAUUUGAUCAAUAAAAGGUAAAGGAUAAUGAUCUUUUUUAGUAGCUUUAUUUAAUUUGCAGAAAUCAGUUACCAUCCUAUAAUCUGUAAUAAUUCUUUGCGGGAUCAAUUCAUCUUUAUCAUUAGGAACGACAGUAAUACCUCCCUUCUUAGGGACACAAUGGACAUGACUUACCCACUGACUAUCAGCAACGGGAUAAAUUAUACGUGCCUCAAGGAGCUUUAGUAUUUCCUUUCUUACCACUUCUUUCAUCUUAGGAUUUAAUCGUCGUUGGUGAUCAAUAACUGGUUUGGCGUCUUCUUCCAAUUUUAUUUUGUGUUGGCAUAGAGUGGGACUAAUGCCCUUAAGAUCAUCAAGAGUAUAUCCAAUAGCAGCACGGUGCUUCUUCAGGGUUUUCAAUAAUCUUUCCUCUUCCUGCUCUAAAAGGUUAGCACUAAUAAUAACAUGAUAUAUCUUCUUUUCAUCAAGAUAAGCAUAUUUAAGAGUAUCAGGUAAUGGUUUAAGCUCAAACACGGGAUCACCCUUGGGUGGUGGUGGAUCCCCUAGGAUUUCAACAGGCAAGUUGUGUUUCAAAAUAGGACCAUGUUUAAAGAAUACUUCAUCUAUUUCCCUUCUUUCAUUCAUAAACAUACCAUUUUCAUGGUCUAGCAAAUAUUGUUCUAAAGGAUCAGUAGGAGGCACGGCAAUAGAAGCAAGACCAAUAAUUUCAUCCUUACUAGGAAAUUCUUUAUCAUGGGGUUGUCUACGGAACUUAGAAAUAUUAAACUCAUGAGACAUAUCCCCCAAACCAAUAGUAACAACAUCCUUUUCGCAGUCUAUCUUAGCAUUAACAGUGUUCAAGAAGGGUCUACCAAAUAUGAUGGGACAAAAGUCAUCUUGUGGGGAACCAAGAACAAGAAAAUCAGCAGGAGAUUUAACUUCCCCACACAAGACUUCAACAUCUCUAACAACCCCAAUUGGUGAAAUAGUAUCUCUAUUGGCAAGCUUAAUUGUAACAUCAAUUUCUUCUACCUCAGCCGGUGCAAUAUCAUGCAUAAUUUCUUCAUAUAAGGAAUAAGGUAUUGCACUGGCACUAGCACCCACAUCACAUAAGCCAUGAUAACAAUGAUCUCCUAUUUUAACAUAAAUAAUAGGAAUGCCUACAACGGGUUUAUGUUUCUUAGCAUUGGGUCUAGCAAUUCUAGCAGCUUCAUCACAGAAGUAAAUAUCAUGCCCUUCAAUAUUAUCGACAAAGAGAUCUUUAACUAUAGCAAUACUAGGUUCAACUUUAAUUUGCUCAGGUGGUGUAUAUGUUCUAGUAUUACUCUUACGAACCACAGUUGAAGCUUUAGCAUGAUCCUUUAUCCUAACAGGGAAAGGUGGUUUCUCAAUAUAAGUAGAAGGAACAAUAGGAUCAUUAUAUGUGAUAGUCUUUUCUUCAACUGUAAUAGGUGCAACUACUUUUACUUGAGUGGGAGGAUUAUAUUUAAACCACUUCUCCUUAGGGAGAUCAAUAUGAGUAGCAAAUGAUUCACAGAAGGAAGCUACUAUCUCAGAGACAAGUCCAUAUUUAGUGCUAAAUCCACGAAAAGCAUCAGUAUCCAUAAAAGAUUUAACACAAUCAAACUUAGGUGUCAUACCUGACUCCUUACCAUCGUCGGAAUCCCAAUCUUCUGAGUUGCGUUUAAUUCUUUCCAAUAAAUCCCGUUUGAAUUCAAUAGUCUUCAUCAUAAAAGACCCAGCACAAGAAGUAUCAAGCAUGGAGCGAUUGUUGAGAGAAAGCCGAGCAUAAAAGUUCUGAAUAAUCAUUUCUCUUGAGAGCUCAUGAUUGGGGCAUGAAUAUAACAUUGACUUAAGCCUCCCCCAAGCUUGAGCGAUGCUUUCUCCUUCGCGAGGACAAAAAUUAUAUAUAUAAUUGCGAUCACGAUGAACAAGAUGCAUAGGAUAAAACUUCUGGUGAAAUUCCAAUUUCAAUCGUUUAUAGUCCCAGGAUCCCAUAUCAUCACAUAGCCUAUACCAUGUCAAUGCGUCUCCCUUCAAAGAUAAAGGGAAAACCUUCUUCUUAAUAACAUCAUCGGGCAUACCUGCAAGCUUAAAUAAUCCACAAAUUCAUCCACAUAGAUUAGGUGUAAAUUGGGAUGCAAUGUUCCAUCUCCUGCAAAGGGAUUAGCUAGUAGUUUCUCUACCAUACCCGAAGGAAUUUCAAAGUAAACAUCUUCAGUAGGUUCAGUAGGUUGAAGAGCAACUCUUUGCUCUACUGGUCAGGGUGAAGAUACCCCGAACAAGCCCCUCAAAGGAUUAGUUUCCAUAGUAACAAGUGACAGUAAAUUUCAGCACACUAUAUAAAUGUUUCCUUACCAAGUUCCACUUACCAAAGGCGCUUCACUCUCCGGCAACGGCGCCAGAAAGAGUCUUGAUGACCCACAAGUGUAGGGGAUCUAUCGUAGUCCUUUCGAUAAGUAAGAGUAUCGAACCCAACGAGGAGCAAAAGGAAAUGACAAGCGGUUUCAGUAAGGUAUUCUCUGCAAGCAAUGAAAUUGCAGGUAACAGAUAGUUUUGUGAUAAGAUAGUUUGUAACGGGUAACAAGCAAUGAAAGUAAAUAAGGUGCAGCAAGGUGGCCCAAUCCUUUUUUAGCAAAGGAUAAGCCUGGACAAGUUCUUAUAAUGAUAAAAGCGCUCCCGAGGACACAUGGGAAUUAUCGUCAAGCUAGUUUUCAUCACGCUCAUAUGAUUCACGUUCGUUACUUUGAUAAUUUGAUAUGUGGGUGGACCGGUGCUUGGGUACUGUCCUUUCUUGGAAAAGCAUCCCACUUAUGAUUAACCCCUAUUGCAAGCAUCCGCAACUACAAAAGAAGUAUUAAGGUAAACCUAACCAUAGCAUGAAACAAGUGGAUCCAAAUCAGCCCCUUACGAAGCAACGCAUAUACUAGGGUUUAAGCUUCUCUCACUCUAGCAACCCAUCAUCUACUUAUUACUUCCCAAUGCCUUCCUCUAGGCCCAAAUAAUGGUGAAGUGUCAUGUAGUCGACGUUCACAUAACACCACUAGAGGAGAGACAACAUACAUCUCAUCAAAAUAUUGAACGAAUACCAAAUUCAUAUGACUACUAAUAGCAGGACUUCACCCAUGUCCUCAGGAACAAACGUAACUACUCACAAAGCAUAUUCAUGUUCAUGAUCAGAGGAGUAUUAAUAUGCAUUAAGGAUCUGAACAUAUGAUCUUGCACCAAAUAAACCAACUAGCAUCAACUACAAGGAGUAAUCAACACUAAUAGCAACCCACAGGUACCAAUCUGAGGUUUUGGUACAAAGAUUGGAUACAAGAGAUGAACUAGGGUUUGAGAGGAGAUGGUGCUGGUGAAGAUGUUGAUGGAGAUUGACCCCCUCCCGAUGAGAGGAUCGUUGGUGAUGAUGAUGGUGAUGAUGAUGGUGAUGAUUUCCCCCUCCCGGAGGGAAGUUUCCCCGGUAGAACAGCUCCGCCGGAGCCCUAGAUUGGUUCCGCCAAGGUUCUGCCUCGUGGCGGCGGAGUUUCAUCCCGUAAGUUUGCUUAUGAUUUUUUCCAGGGUAAAAGACUUCAUAUAGCAGAAGAUGGGCACCGGAGGGCUGCCAGGUGGCCCACAAGGCAGGAGGGCGCGCCCCCUACCCUCGUGGAUGGUGGGUGGCCCCCCUCAGGUAUUUCUUCUGUUGAAUAUUUUUUAUUAAUUCUCAAAAUGACUUUCGUGGAGUUUCAGGACUUUUGGAGCUGUGCAGAAUAGGUCUCCAAUAUUUGCUCCUUUUCCAACCCGGAAUCCCAGCUGUCGGCAUUCUCCGUCUUCAUGUAAACCUUGUAAAAUAAGAGAGAAUAGCCAUAAGUAUUGUGGCAUAACGUGUAAUAACAACCCAUAAUGCAAUAAAUAUCGAUAUAAAAGCAUGAUGCAAAAUGGACGUAUCAAAGCGCUACAGCUAACUGGCCACAUACUUAAAAAAGAUUAACAGUAGCGCUGUUUGUGCUAGGCAGUGCUAUAGCUAACUUAGCUACAGCGUGUUUUUCCACGCCACGCUUUAACUAAGUUGCCUACACAGCAUCGCUCGAGCCACACACCCCAUCUCUUUCUCUGUCUCUCUCUCGCUCUUUAUCGAUGUAGCGACCCGACCCGAAUGGAUCAAGUCUCUGUGCUUAAGUGUCAUCCCUGGAUCGGUAUGCUGACACACACAGUACUCGAGGAUUUAUAACAGAGGUAAAUCACAUGUAUAAAAUAACGUAAAUACCAAUUACCUCAAUCCAAAUAGCGGAAGUAACAACAAGGUUGUGGAUUCCCAUCAACACCAACGGCAAAGUUGAGUGUAGAAAACGUAACCCUAACGUAUCACUUACUCAUCGUAAGAAUCCUGCAACAUGAGACGUUGCAGCCACAAAGGGUAAGUACAUUGAAUGUACUGGCAAAUUCACACCAUAGGAUAAUGACGAAUAAUAGCUAUCACUACAUGCAUAUAUGGCUGGUGGAAAAGCUCUAUGGUUAUAAUGUUUUUGCGAAAAGCCAACUUUCCCUACUGCAAAGGAAUAUAUUUUAUUUAACUACAAAGUUGGUUGAAAACAUUGAGAAGGUAAACCCCCUCUCAAUCCCAAUUAAAAGUAAUCAUUAACAACCCAACAAAUUAAUUAAGUAACGUGAUGAGAUCAACAUGAUAAUUCAAGAACCAGAUACUCAAAAUUGUCCAUAACCGGGGACACGGCUAACCAUGAUUAGUUUGUACACUCUGCAGAGGUUUGCACACUUUUCCCCACAAGACUCGAUCUCCUCCGUUAGAUUUCUGGCACUUCAUGAUGUUUGAGAAACGGAUGACCGAGACACAGUCUUUCAGAAGCGUUAGCACCUUACGAUGGGUAGACAGUUACACCUACUUCCCCUACAUCUGCUAGUCUACCACUGUAAGAGUUCACACGACUUAAUCAACUAUGCUAGAGCCCAUAAUAGCUUGUGGCUGCACACGGAAGUUUCUAGCAUGAAUAAUCUUAUGAUCCCUUUGAGCCUGGGUGGCGGUCCAUAGGAUAAUCACACGGAACCCCGGGAUUUCCAAAAAAACAGGCAAUCACUGGAUUCCCCAGGUGCCUCAAUCCACCCAGAUGUGUAUUAAAGUUGCCACCUUAAGUUGAACCAUUGAAUAACAAUCUCAAAUCUAUGAUGGAUACACUCAAACCCAAUCCACGUCUACGAGCAUAGCAUAGCAGUAUAAGCAUAAUGUAGAAGUAACUCCCAAGGGUUUGAUAGUAAUAGGACAUAGGUUCUACAUCAUCAACUACUUCCCAAUACCCACAUGUUAUCAAUUCCUAACCAUGCAAUGUUUGAGGGUGAAACUAAUGCAUAAAAACUGGGUAUGUAAGGGAUAUGAUCAAAGUGUGAACUUGCCUGUACUAUUGAUGAAGAUGAUUCGCACUCAAAACUCUUGAUAGUUCUAUGCUUCACACUCCGUUCAAUCUAUCGUGAGCAAGCAAUAGUAACCACACAUAAGCAAUCACUCAAAAGAUCGGAAAGAACAAAGAAAACAAUUCCGAAAGCAUCAAAACCAAGCAAAUAACUCUUGCAACAUAAAACAAUUUCUAACAGUACCAAAAUUAUGUGAAUUUGGCCUUAGCAGAAAGUUUAGGUCCAGAGCUUCGAUUUGCAAAAAGAAUCAACUCAAACGGAGUUAUAAAACUCGAGUUAUGAACAAGAGAAUUUCAAAUACAAAUCUGUUUGAAUUCAAAUUUUAAAACUUUCAAAAAUAUGUUUAAGUUGUUUUACUGGAUAGAGGGGAUCAAAACGAAGAAGUGGGUGUUGGUUUCGUCUAAUUCCGACAAACGAGCAAAAAGUUGUGAGGGAUAGAAAACCAGUGGCUAAACUGCUAAAUAAAAUAAUUACAACUAGGUCCCUGGCCACGAAAACAGAAACUAAAAUAUGAACGUUCACUGUUUAGGACUAAACAGCAAAUACGUUCACUAAAACUACUAACUGGAAAACGUUACUAACUAACCAGAUCUGGAAAAAAAACUGAUCUGCUUAUAUAUAUAUAUAAACCGAGAUUUUAACGAAAAACCGGGCGGUGGUUUUACCGGUUCGGGAGUUUGCGAACCGAUGAGAUCCGGCAAGAUCCCGACGGUGGCGGGGUCGACGGCGAAGCGGAGAUCGGCGGCGGCGACUGCUCCGGCGGACUCCGGCGGCGGGGUGGCGGCGGUGGCGCGUGGGAUGGAGGCGCGGCGAGGCAGCGGCGCAGAACCGCGGCGGCGACGACAGCGAGAUGUGGCGGCGGCGGCGUCGAUCUGCGGCGGCGCGGGGAGGAGAGGAAACGGGGUCGGGGCGGCGCCCUUUAUAGGAGGGAGGGGAGGAGGUAGCCUUGGAGGAGAGGUAAGGCGGCGGAGGACUCCGGGCGGCGCACGGACGUCGAGGCGGCGUCGGUUACGCUCGGGACUCCGUCCCGAGCUUGAGGGCGAAGCGCGGCUGGGCUGGGCCUGGCUGGCUAGCUGGGCCGGCCAAGUCGGCGGGAGAAAAGAAGUUUUUUUAAAUAAACAUUUUCCAGAAAACAAAAGAAAAUAGAAUAAACCACCAAAAUAGAAAUAUACUAUAGGCAUAUAAAAAGAUUUUCUACAACCUGAACAUUUUUGUAAGAUCUAAUAAAAUACACACAAAUUUAAAUAAAACAAAGAAUGCCACUGGUGCAAUAAAAUCCAAACAAAAAUCAUUUUAAAAAUACCAAGAUGAUUUCAAAUUUAAAUAUCUCCAAUUUUCUAUUGUAGGGAAUCAUGUUACCCUAUUUUCCAUAUAUUUUAUUUGUGGAGAAAAAUAAUUUGAAGAAAAUACAAAUAACUCCAAAUUGAAAAUAAUUUCCAAGAGGACUUUAAAUUUGAUCCUUUUAAACUCCCAACUCAUAUUUCAUAUAAUUUGAAGAAGUCAUUUUAUCUUCUCGCAUGAAAAUCAUUGAGUUGCUUAAAGUUUUCUGAAUUUGAAAUAUUUUCAAAUGAAAUUCAAAUAUUUUCAACAACCCUUUUCAUUUAAAUAAAUGGAAGAAGUCAUGUCAUCUUCUCUCUAGGGUUUUGUGAUGAAAUGAAUUUGAAUUCACGGAGAUCAUAAAUGCAAAAAUGAAAGUUUGGGAAAGUCCUUUUAUUCCCUCUCAUUUAACUUUCAAAAAGUUUCGAAUUUCACUCAACUACGCACAAUCAAUCAAACAAUCAAUCAAAACUAUCUAUUUAAUAUAACAUUCCAAAAUUUAGAAUUUUGGGAUGUUACAAACCUACCACCCUUAAAAUGAAUCUCGUCCUCGAGAUUCGGAGAGGCUAGAAAGAAAUAGGUUAGGUUUGGGGGUCAUAUUUAUUGUAAUAAGUGUGUGAUUGCUACUCUGUUAUAAAUCCUUCGAGUAAUGUGCGUGUCAGCAUUACUGAUCCAGGGAUGACACUGAUGCACAGAGACAAUCGAUCCCCUUUCUCUGAGCUCCCACACCACCGCCGGCACCGCACCCGCCCACGCCGCUGUUGGCAGGCGUCGCACCCGACCCCGACGCCGACCACUGGUCGCCCCUACACUCCCUUCCAUGACCCGCACCCCCUGUGCCGCCCCUCCCCCUAUGCCGCCCCUCCCCCGAGCAGUCCCCUACACCGGCCCACGCCCCUCCCCCAAGCAGUCCCCUCCACUGGUCGACGCCCCUCCCCCGAUUAGUCUCAGUCUCUCUCUCUCUCUCUAUAUAUAUAUAUAUACAUACAUAUAUAUAUAUGUCUCUCUCUCUGACCAAAUUUGGUCUCUCUGCCGAUCGAAGCUAGGCGCAGAUCAACGAGGAGGAGAAGGACGCCCUCAACCCUAACCCCGAGCCCAACCCCGAGGUGCUCCACCCCCUCUUCCCUCGCUCUUCAUAAUAUUCGGCAAUGCUUGUUAGAGUGCUUAUUAAAAUGCUUGUUAGAGUGUUGUUAGAGUGUUCAUAAUGUGGUUGUUAGAGUGUUAGAGUGUUCAUAUUUGGAGUUAAAAUAAAAUGAAAUGAAAUGCUGUCCAUUUGGAGUUUCUUUUAAAAUGAAAUGUCGGACUUUGUUUGUUACAUAGUAGUAGUGUAAAUUAUAAAAUUUCGGUGAUCUUGGUGGCUGCAUUGCUCAUUCUGCUAGUGUUGGCAGAUGGUAGUGAAAUGCUACUUCAGCACACACUACAAAAAAAAAGACAAAUCCAUGACAUUUUGGGCCGAACGUAAUUUUUUCUGUCAUGCUUCUGACACUUCUAUGACGAUAAUUGUGACAAAACCCGGUAUCAUCAUAGAUGUGGUGGGCUCCUACUUCUAUGACAAAAAAUCAUGACAGAAAAUGGGUUUUUCGUCCUGGGCGGGCCGGAGACGCAGCUGCAUGACAUUCUUUAGGCCGUCCAUGACGGAAAAAACAAUGGUAGCACUACAAGAAAUAUGUCAACUUGUGACCUUGACUAUUGGUCACUGACAGGUCAUUGUUUUUCAUUUGCGACCUUUUUGUGACAAAAAACAGAAGGUCAAAAGCUGGCAGUCGUAAACUGAAAUUAACGACCUUCUCUGUGAGAAGGUCGUAGACGUUUACGACCAAAACAGAAGGUCGUUGAACCCAUGACCUUUUGUUUUGGUCACUGGCUGUCUGCCCAGGCCACGUUGGAUCCGACAUGGCAAUCUGACGUGGCAAAACUACGACCAAUUGAAAAGGUCACUGACAAGAAUCAGCCCGGUCCAAUUGAGUGUUUUACAUGGGCCUAGCCCAUUAAUUCAGCCCUUUUUCCGGUCAAUUUACGCUAGCUACAUGGGCCAAGCCCAGCAAUUCGGCCUUUUUGGUUUCUAAGACACAGAACUUUACAGUCCAUUUCUUUUUGGGCCUCGGCCUUUUAAAAGUUGACUUCUUUUUUGGGCCUCAGCCUUUUUGCAUGCUAUUCACGUUUUGGGCCUUGGCCUCUACCAAUAAGUAGGUCCAACUCAUUAACUUUCUAUUUCUCACAUUUUCACAGUACACAAAUGACAAAUAUUUCAAAUGAAACAGAACUAUAUACUUGAAAUGAUAGCCAAAAUUAGCCUAUUACAAUCUUUACAUAGUGUUCAUACAACCAGACCAGUACAGAAUACAAUGUAACUAGCUAUGAAGUACAACCAGAACACAAGGCAUAUUGAUAGAUAACCACCACGCUUCAUCGUCUUCCUCUUCCAAAUUCCAAGAAACAAAUCACCUAGCAUUAGAAGGAUCACGCA
rnacentral:lncRNA from 1 species